CUCUGGCUCACAAUACUUUUGUCAAAACUACCAUCAAUGGAUUUACAUAACAUAUUGUUCAUCCUCAUUUUAUUCCUCACAGUAUCACUUUUGACCAAAGAAGACAUUUUAGAGCAAGUAAAGUGAGGCAGUGAGUUAAGCUCAGAGAAUUUACAAGUUCUCUCUAUAACCCUUACUCCAACUCAACUCACCUGAUAGAAUGGCCUUUUGUUGACUCAGUUAUAGCACCAGCUUGGUGGCGAUGCUCUUAGAGUUGAACCGUUGUCCUAUGAUGUAUCACGUGCUUUGACCAGCAACCAAUACAAUGGCUUUUUUCCCAUAGCCAGGAUAUCAGAAUAUGUUCUGAACAGAGAUGUGGAAAUAGGAGUGACUACUUUCUCUAUUGCUCUCAAUUAUUUGCUAGGAAAACAAAAUAAAACAAAACAAAAUGGCUUCCCAUUUCCAUCCCAUGGGAUCUACCAGAUUAGAGGAACUGACCAAGGUUUCCAUUGACUCGGAAGCUGAGAUGAUAACCUGAGCAUUUUGAACCACACUGGUUUUUGCAAUUACAGAUGAAGAAGAGAGAUGCUAGAAACUUCGUUUCCCACAAUCACCUUCCCUGUGUGACUCCAGACUGCAGUUUGACAUUGAGAAGUACUCUCAUGAGAUUUGGAAAGCAGAAGGGAAGGAAAAGCCAUUAUCCUCUAGAGGCAUUUGCAGCUAGAAACAGGAGUAGACAAGAUUCACAGAGACUUCCCAGUGGGCUCUUGAGAAACAUCCGUUUUGGAGCUUCAGGAUCUAGUAAUUGUCAUGAACACAAAGAAUCACAAACAGCCAAGUUAUUUUCCACAUCUAUCCGAUGGAAGAGUAUCCUGAUUGUAAUCAAGACCAGAAGUUUAGUCCAGGUUGUUAGCUUGUGCUUCCAAAUCUCUGAUUUCAACUGGCCCCCAGAAUCUCUGGUUAACUGAAGUCUAACAAAAGGAAAUGAGUCUCUGUCACCGAGCUGUUAAAAGGUCAACAAGAGUGACAGCUUCACCAUCUCAAUUGCAGAUUUUCAGCUAAAAGCCAGCUGAUGUCAAGUUGAAGUCAAAACUGAGACCUCAUCAUAAUAAACAGAUUGUCAAAACAGCAAAGAAUUGCACAGCUUAGAAUAGGAAACACAGGAGGCUGGCUUUGUGUCAAUUUGAGGGCAUGACAUUGAGCAAGGGGGCCCUCAAAAACCCAACCUACUGCUUUGUCAUUCUAACGCUACUCUUUUGAUCUUGAAAGUUUGUUGGUCUUCCAUACAUAACUCCAGAGAGAGAGGAAAGAGACACUAUGUUUACUGUCCAUGGCUUUCAAUUACCUUAUUAAUUUUGAUAUCUGUGUGACUAUAGAAGUAGUAGAAACAACUCGAAAGAAGUAGCAGAAACUUGGCAUUAGAUGAUCGCGUAUCAACAAAUAGAAAAUGAUGUUGAUGGUGGAAAUGCAAACUAAGGAUGAAAUCAGUUUAUUUGCAAUUAUUCUUAAUUAAAACUAUGCCUUGCAAGUUAGAUCUCCAGGACAGACAUAUAAAUUUAGAAAGAAACUGAAAAAAAUUAUAAAGUGAAUGGAAGACAUUAUUGGGAAGGGGCUUUUGGAUCAAUUUGCAGAGCUCUAUAAGCAUCUUAAAAUUAUGCAAUUACAUAUGGGAACUUGAAGUUAUGUCUUGUAAACUUGAGGAUACUGUGCAAUGCGACAUCUUGUGUCAUCACAUAUACACACAAUGAAAUACAAUAUAUGUUAAGUUCAUAUUAUGCACCAGGCUGUUUUACGCUUUCGAAAUAAAUUAGAAAACAAAAGACAUUAUUCACAAUAGCCAAGACUUGGAAGCAACCUAGGUGCCCAUCCAGAGAUGAAUGGAUAAAGAAGAUGUGGUAUUUAUACAUGAUGCACUACUACUCAUCCAUAAGAAAUGAUGAAAUCCCGCCAUUUGUGACAACAUGGAUGGACCUUGAGGGGAUUAUGCUGAAUGAAAUAAGUCAGAGGGAGAAAAUCAAAUACCGUAUGAUCUCACUCAUAUGUAGAAGAUAAAAACAGUGACAAGCAAACACAU
rnacentral:lncRNA from 1 species